UGGGGAAUUUUGGACAAUGGGCGAAAGCCUGAUCCAGCAAUGCCGCGUGAGUGAAGAAGGUCUUCGGGUUGUAAAGCUCUUUUGUCAGUGAAGAAACGGUGAAGGCUAAUAUCUUUUGCUAAUGACGGUACCUGAAGAAUAAGCACCGGCUAACUACGUGCCAGCAGCCGCGGUAAUACGUAGGGUGCAAGCGUUAAUCGGAAUUACUGGUCGUAAAGCGUGCGCAGGCGGUUUUGUAAGUCUGAUGUGAAAUCCCCAGGCUCAACCUGGGAAUUGCAUUGGAGAAUGAAAGGCUAGAAUCUGGCAGAGGGGGGUAGAAUUCCACGUGUAGCAGUGAAGUGCGUGGAUAUGUGGAGGAACACCGAUGGCGAAGACAGCCCCCUGGGUCAAGAUUGACGCUCAUGCACGAAAGCGUAGGGAGCAAACA
rnacentral:rRNA from 1 species